rnacentral:rRNA from 1 species
GAUGAACGCUGGCGGCGUGCCUAAUACAUGCAAGUCGAGCGAACGGACGAGAAGCUUGCUUCUCUGAUGUUAGCGGCGGACGUGUGAGUAACACGUGGAUAACCUACCUAUCAGACUGGGAUAACUUCGGGAAACCGGCGCUAAUACCGUAUGAUAUUUUGAACCGCAUGGUUCAAAAGUGAAAGACGGUCUUUCUGUCACUUCUAGAUGGAUCCGCGCUGCAUUAGCUAGUUGGUAAGGUAACGGCUUACCAAGGCAACGAUGCAUAGCCGACCUGAGAGGGUGAUCGGCCACACUGGAACUGAGACACGGUCCAGACUCCUACGGGAGGCAGCAGUAGGGAAUCUUCCGCAAUGGGCGAAAGCCUGACGGAGCAACGCCGCGUGAGUGAUGAAGGUCUUCGGAUCGUAAAACUCUGUUAUUAGGGAAGAACAUAUGUGUAAGUAACUGUGCACGUCUUGACGGUACCUAAUCAGAAAGCCACGGCUAACUACGUG